rnacentral:rRNA from 1 species
UACGAAGGGGGCUAGCGUUGUUCGGAAUCACUGGGCGUAAAGGGCGCGUAGGCGGCGCGACAAGUCAGGCGUGAAAGGCCUGGGCUCAACCCGGGAAUUGCGCUUGAGACUGGGCUGGCUUGAGUGCGGGAGAGGAUGGUGGAAUUCCCAGUGUAGAGGUGAAAUUCGUAGAUAUUGGGAAGAACACCGGUGGCGAAGGCGGCCAUCUGGACCGCAACUGACGCUGAGGUACGAAAGCGUGGGGAGCAAACAGG